rnacentral:misc_RNA from 1 species
AUGACAAAGAAUAAUUUUUGAGGGAAUACAAAUUUCUUUCUACAAAAAUAGAAAAUUUAAUUAAUUUUUAAAGUUGCAUUUUGCUUUUCUCAUGUGAGGAAUUAUUAACUACUGCACUGGCUGUACCUUAGCAAUCACUUCUCAUAUAAAGUGAUUUCACAUAUUUACCAAGUGUGCUUUCUUUCAUUACCUUUAUUUCCAAAGAAAU